ACUCAAAUGAAUAGACGGGGGCUCACACAAGCGGUGGAGCAUGUUGCUUAAUUCGAAGCAACGCGAAGAACCUUACCUGGGCUUGACAUGCAUGGAUUAGUUCCUGGAAACAGGAAUGACGCUCGCAAGAGUGGAACAUGCACAGGUGCUGCAUGGCUGUCGUCAGCUCGUGCUGUGAAGUGUCGGGUUAAGUCCCUUAACGAGCGCAACCCCUGUCGCUAGUUGCCAACGCGUAAUGGCGGGGACUCUAGCGAGACUGCCGGUGUCAAACCGGAGGAAGGUGGGGAUGACGUCAAGUCCUCAUGGCCCUUACGCCCAGGGUUGCAAACGUGCUACAAUGGCAUGGACAAAGCGAUGCGAGGCCGCGAGGCGGAGCAAAUCGCAAAAAACAUGCCCCAGUUCGGAUUGCAGUCUGCAACUCGACUGCAUGAAGUUGGAAUCGCUAGUAAUCGCGGAUCAGCCACGCCGCGGUGAAUACGUUCCUGAGCCUUGUACACACCGCCCGU
rnacentral:rRNA from 1 species